GAGUGUGUGAUUAGUGUGUGUGAUUAGUGUGUGUGUGAGUGUGUGAUUAGUGUGUGUGUGUGUGUGUGUGUGAUGAAUACAGACUGAAGUUCUGAUGGGGAAUGGGUUCUGCAGCCAGCAGCUCAACACCACACAUCGUACAUGAAAAUGAUUCAUCACCACAGCCAAUGGACAAAGUCGCAUCAUCAUCAUCAUUUUUAUCUCCUUCCUGUCCCCGGGCCCCGCCCAUCAUCAUCAUCACUGCUCCGUCCCGGGAGAACCUGCUGGCUCCGUCUACCGACCACUCCAUACAGAAGGCUAAUCAGGAGCGCAGACCGGGCAGCCCCAUCAUUGUAGGGAGGGGAUUCAUCAUCAGCAGAGCCUAGCGCACACACACACACACGCACACACACAAACACAAACACACACAUCACAGAACGAGUCACACAGUUCUUGGAAGAUGGACAGGAGAACACCAAUAAUCCUCUCAGCAGUCUGAACCUUUCUCUGUAGUCUUCUGAACUAAAACAGACAGUUUCAGAUGUGUACAGAACAGACGGCCGAGUAGAACAGAUUCAGCAGCUCCUGUGGCAGGUUAAACUUCUACUGGCGAAGUAACUACAUCCUUUGUUGGGCCUUUUUUACAGUGGUGUUAAUGUGAGUGUCUCACUUCAGGUCCUGGUGGAGCUCAGGAACUUAAAUGCCUUAAUUUAUUUGACAUGUUUUAUAUUAAUAUUAAAUAUACAAAUAUAUUUAUCCCAUCACACUUUAUGUGUAUUACAGAAGUCCUGAGAGUCCUAAUGCAUUAUUACUAUUUUAUUCAUGAC